GACGAACGCUGGCGGCGUGCUUAACACAUGCAAGUCGAACGGAAAGGCCCCCACUUUUUUGGUGGGGGUGCUCGAGUGGCGAACGGGUGAGUAACACGUGGGUGAUCUGCCCUGUACUUCGGGAUAAGCUUGGGAAACUGGGUCUAAUACCGGAUAGGACCAUGGUUUAGUGUCUCAUGGUGGAAAAAUUAUUGUUUUGGUGCAGGAUGAGCUCGCGGCCUAUCAGCUUGUUGGUGGGGUAAUGGCCUACCAAGGCGUCGACGGGUAGCCGGCCUGAGAGGGUGGACGGCCACAUUGGGACUGAGAUACGGACCAGACUACUACGGGAGGCAGCAGUGGGGAAUAUUGCACAAUGGGCGCAAGCCUGAUGCAGCGACGCCGCGUGGGGGAUGACGGCCUUCGGGUUGUAAACUCCUUUCGUUAGGGACGAAGCCGCACCUUUUUUGGGUGUGGUGACGGUACCUUUGUUAAGAAGCACCGGCUAACUACGUG
rnacentral:rRNA from 1 species